UCAGACUGCUUCGUGUUGCUUUGUUUAGCUAGACGUCAAACCCUGGCAGUGAAUUUGGGUCGCUAAAUUGGUCAUCUACAGAAUUCUAGGGGUUUGAUCAUAGAAAACUUGAACACAACUUUUGUUCACCUUACCAAGAGGUUUGUUUGGACAAUGGACUUGUUUAUUUAGCUACACUUAUUGAAGGUGUGUUUCCAGACUGCCAGAAGCCAGCUAGCUAGCUAAAGUGAGUUUGCCAAGAUAGGCUAGCUUCCUACCUGUCCUCACCAACUUAUCUGGAGGGGAACAAGCAAAGUGACAACAAAGAGACACGACCGCUACGACAAAGGAUGUCUAAGCUGGAGCGUCUGAAUGCCCGUGUGGCGCGGCUUCUGACCGUAGCGGUACACGAGGUUCUAGACGUGGUGAAGGAGACGGUGUCGGAGUACCAGGAGAAAACCGCCAGGACCCUGAGAGAGAACGACAGUCUCAAGAGAAGAGUUCAGGAGCUCCAGGAGCAGUUGAAGAGCGAAAGUGCAGCUGCCCCACUGCUCUUCCCAGUCUCAGGAGGGAGAGCAGCUGUUGAGAAGCAGCAGGAGGACCAGACCUGGAGCCCCUCGUCCAGGCAGGACCAGACCUGGAGCCCCUCGUCCAGGCAGGACCAGACCUGGAGCCCCUCGUCCAAGCAGGACCAGACCUGGAACCCCUCCUCCAGGCAGCCUGACGCCACACAGGAACACACCUUCAUACCCACACAGGAACACACCUUCAUACCCACACAGGAACACACCUUCAUACCCACACAGGAACACACCUUCAUACCCACACAGGAACACACCUUCAUACCCACACAGGAACACUACAGAAAGGAGCAGGAUGUGGAGCUGGUAGAGUCGGAGUGUAAGUUCAGACUGGUGGUUCCUGAAGGCCUCGUGGUGCAUCCUGGGGUCUCCCCUCAGCUCAGCGAGGAGAGACAGUCCCUGGCCCUGCCCACACCAGCCCCGCCCACAGCACUGCGUGUCAUCAAAACAGACGUGGACACACCCUCCAUCAGGACUCUGACCACGCCCAGCGCCCCUCCCAUCAGUACUCUGACCACGCCCAGCGCCCCUCCCAUCAGCUCCUCCCUCCUGAAAGCCCAGCUGGGAUUAAACUUGACAGUCAUCAAAACGGAACCAGAGACGCCCGAGUGCUCCACCCCGCCCUCCGCCCCGCUCGGCGACAACCGAGGCGUCGAUCUGAGCUGCGGCUCCGCCGGACAUGACGCCGCCAAGUCCCCCGCGAGCGGAGCCCCCUACGGACUGUUCUACCUGCACCCCAGCCAGCCCCCCGCCGGCCGGAGGUUCAGCUUCGGCAGGACCGGCCGAGCCGCCCUGGACGCCCGCAGGAGCCGGCAGAUGUUCCGCAGGGACGAGCCCCAUGUGUGCUUCGUGUGCGGGAAGACCUUCAGCCGCGUGGGGAACCUGCGGAUCCACCAGCGCUGCCACACCGGGGAGAAGCCCUACGGCUGCCUGCAGUGCGGGCGAAGCUUCCGGCAGGCAGGAGACCUGAAGAAGCACAAGAGGGUCCACACCGGGGAGAAGCCAUACUACUGCCAGCAGUGUGGCAAGAGUUUCAGCAGGGGAGAGAACCUGAAGAGGCACCAGAAGAUCCACGUUGGAGAGACUUUACAGCUGCAGCAAGCGUGGAGGGAACACCAGACAAGCUAGACAUAGAAUGUGCAGGAAUGUAUCUUGCUUCAGAUGUAAAGGCUCUGCAUGUGGUGGAUGUUGGCGUUGGAAAGCUGCAGUGCUGAACAUGUGGUUGGUUCUGUCUGGGAGGUGGUCAGUGGGUUUUAGCAACUGGCAACUGGACUUAUUGACAAACUUUUGAUGACUGUUUGUUGUAUAUCAGUUAUAAAGGGGAUAGAGACAGACAGCAGGGUGAGGGACAGACAGCAGGGUGAGGGACAGACAGGUCCAGACAGACAGUAGGGUGAGGGACAGACAGGUCCAGACAGACAGCAGGGUGAGGGACAGACAGGUCCAGACAGACAGCAGGGUGAGGGACAGAUAGGUCCAGACAGACAGACAGCAGGGUGAGGGACAGACAGGUCCAGACAGACAGCAGGGUGAGGGACAGACAGGUCCAGACAGACAGAAGGGUGAGGGACAGACAGGUCCACACACAGACAGACAGCAGGGUGAGGGACAGGCAGGUCCCCACAGACUGACGUGGGAUAGAUCAGAUCCAAGCAGUUUAUGUAUGUGGUUGGCUCAUCCAGCUGUCCCUCUGCAUACUGAUUGUCUUGUUACAUUUACAUUUAGUCAUUUAGCAGACGCUCUUAUCCAGAGCGACUUACAGUAAGUACAGGGACAUUCUCCCCGAGGCAAGUAGGGUGAAGUGCCUUGCCCAAGGACACAACGUCAGUUGGCACGGCCGGGAAUCUAACUGGCAACCUUCGGAUUACUAGCCCGCUUCCCUCACCGCUCGGCCACCUGACUCCCUUGUUCUGAGUGAAGGAACGUCAACAACAUUGUCCUCCUGGUGGUGAAUAAAAACAACAGCCUCA